rnacentral:rRNA from 1 species
CAAAGGUAGCAUAAUCAUUAGUCUUUUAAUUGAAGGCUGGUAUGAAUGGUUGGAUGAAAUAUUAACUGUUUCAUUUAAAUUUUUUAUAGAAUUUUAUUUUUUAGUAAAAAAGCUAAAAUUUUUUUAAAAGACGAGAAGACCCUAUAAAUCUUUAUAUUUUAUUUUUAUUAAUUAUUAAGAUAAGUUUAAUUAUUAAAAAUUAAAAUAUUUUAUUGGGGUGAUAUUAAAAUUUAAUAAACUUUUAAUUUUUAAAUACAUAAAUUUAUGAUUUUUUGAUCCAUUAUUAAUGAUUAAAAAUUUAAGUUAGUUU